rnacentral:rRNA from 1 species
UACGGGGGGAGCAAGCGUUGUUCGGAUUUACUGGGCGUAAAGGGCGCGUAGGCGGCCAGCACAAGUCAGUUGGUGAAAUCUCCGAGCUUAACUCGGAAAGGUCAACUGAUACUGUGCGGCUAGAGUGCAGAAGGGGCAACUGGAAUUCUUGGUGUAGCGGUGAAAUGCGUAGAUAUCAAGAGGAACACCUGCGGCGAAGGCGGUUGCUGGGCUGACACUGACGCUGGAGGAGCGAAAGCCAUGGGGAGCGAACAGG